rnacentral:rRNA from 1 species
AGAACGAACGCUGGCGGCAGGCCUCAAACAUGCAAGUCUAGGGGGUGUAGCAAUACAUCACCGGCGGACGGGUGCGUAACGCGUGGGAAUGUACCUAUUGGUUCGGAACAACUGAGGGAAACUUCAGCUAAUACCGAAUGAGCCCGCAAGGGGAAAGAUUUCUCGCCAAUAGAUCAGCCCGCGUCCGAUUAGCUAGUUGGUGGGGUUAAAGCCUACCAAGGCGACGAUCGGUAGCUGUUCUGAGAGGAAGAUCAGCCACACUGGGACUGAGACACGGCCCAGACUCCUACGGGAGGCAGCAGUUGGGAAUCUUGGACAAUGGGGGAAACCCUGAUCCAGCCAUGCCGCGUGAGUGAUGAAGGCCUUCGGGUUGUAAAACUCUUUCGACGGGGACGAUAAUGACGGUACCCGUAGAAGAAGCUCCGGCUAACUUCGUGCCAGCAGCCGC